rnacentral:lncRNA from 1 species
UAUUAGUAUCAUAAUCAUUGUAUUAUAAUUAUUAAUUAACUUAUAAAACUAUCACUAAACCACCAUCAUCAACUUCUUCCCCACCAAUCAAAAUUACAAUUUGCUCCCUCAAAUUUGACAUUUGAAACUUUACCUUUAGAACUCAACGGAACCUUCAAAUCACAUUCAUAUUUAGCUUUAAAUUUUGGUGUUUUCAUCCACAACACUUUAUAACAAAUCUUCAACUUCAGCUUCAAAUCAAUUUUGUACACACCAUCACUCUUCUCUAAUUCAUAUUUAGAUCUAUCACCUCCAUCAAACACCACCACUUGCUCUCCUUUAAACACGGGACCAACAUAUUUCUCCUUCUUAUGUCCUAAAUAAAAACCAUCAAUCUCCUGGGUCGAAAACCGCUGACCGGAGUACAUUGUGGUGGCCUCGAUGUUGUCGUAGUAGAUACCUAACCGGCGGUUGGGGUUGCGAAACGUCAUGUUGACGACGAGGUUGUAGUUGAGAGUGUUGUUAGUAGGGGACAUGGUGAAUUGAGUGAGGGUGGCGUUAUCGACGUGAAAUUUGGGGACGUUUGGGCGGAAGAUGAACCAGAAGAUUAAGCCGAUGAUAGCCGCAAAGAUCGCGAUGGUGAUUAGGAUUUGGCAGAUGAGUUGGAUGAUGCAGUUGCAUAUGCAACUACAACAACAUGUUAUAGGGUUACACGUGCUGCCGCGGCCAGGGUGGUGGUAGGCUUUGGUUUUUGGUUGGACCGGAGGGCCGUAGAAGGCGCCGUUGAGGUGUGGCUGUGCAGGACGCGAUGACAUUUUCGUAACGCACUAAAGAAGUUAUUGGGAGGAAGUUGGAUUGAUUUGUGGGUUGUGAUGAUGUGAGUUUUAUGGUGGAGUGGUGGUUUUCUCCGUAAACCUAUCAGGUGGCUUUUGAUGGAGUGGGGGCACUAAAAACAUGAACGAAUAUAAUGUAAUAUAACAUAUUUGGUUGUACACAUGAUUUAAAGGUUACUGCCGAUUACACGGAGAUGUGACAUACACGUUUUCAUUUUUGUUAAAAAAGGUUAUUGUU